rnacentral:lncRNA from 1 species
GUGAAAUCAGUGUUCCAAAACACAUUACAGAGGAUAACAAGCAAAGCUAUUCUCUCUAUUUUCCUCAAACAAACAAAAAAAAUUCUCAGCACAGUGAGAUAGAGAGACAAUGGCGGUGGCAGCAAGCACAAGCACAGUGUUAGUCCCUCGUCUACUUACAACAACCACCAACGUUACUCGUUGCUCUGCUUUGCCAUAUCUUCCUCCUCGUCUCUCCACCACUCCUUCUUCUUCUUCUUCUUCCCUUUUCCUUAAACACUCUAUUUCAGGUAUUAUAACUAUCAACACACUUUUUUGGAUAGCCACUUCAAUUCUAUUAAUAAUGCUCACAUAUAUGUUCAUUGUAUAUGUAAUUAGGCUUGUUUGGAUUAUCUUUUGGCUUAGGAUACUUUUCAAUUACAAUAAGGGCUUAUGCAUAACCUAUUUUAUAGCAUCUGAUAAAAUUAAGUUGUUUUUGUAG